GGAUGUGAGGGCGACCUGGCUGCGACAUCUGUCACCCCAUCGAUUGCCAGGGUUGAUUCGGCUGAUCCGGCUGGCUAGGCUCCAUGUUCAUCCCUCCCAAAGCUGCGCGCUCGGUGGAAGAGAACGACCAUCCCAGAUAGGAGUGUACUGUUCUUUGGUCAAGGGUAUACGAUAGCUGCACUCCCCUGCUAGAACCUCCAAACAAGUAACCCAUCUUUCUGCUGCUAUCACCAGCUGACUUACUUAUGCCUCAUGUACAUUUAUCAUCCAACUGUGUUUCUGGGUUGGGUGU